GCAUCACUGGCGCAAUGGUAGCGCGUAGCACUCCUAAUGCUGAGGUUGUGGGUUCGACUCCCGCGUGGUGUA